GUACGGCGAGUGAGCGGCAACAGCUCAAAUUUGAAAGCUGGCUCCGGCCCGCAUUGUAAUUUGCAGAGGAUGCUUCUGGUGAGGUGCCUUCCGAGUUCCCUGGAACGGGACGCCAUAGAGGGUGAGAGCCCCGUAUGGAUGGACACCAAACCUGUGUGAAGCUCCUUCAACGAGUCGAGUAGUUUGGGAAUGCUGCUCUAAAUGGGAGGUAAAUCUCUUCUAAAGCUAAAUACCGGCCAGAGACCGAUAGCGCACAAGUAGAGUGAUCGAAAGAUGAAAAGCACCUUGAAAAGGGGGUUAAACAGUACGUGAAAUUGUUGAAAGGGAAGCGCUUGUGACCAGACUUGCGCCGGGCAGCUCAUCAGGGGUUCUCCCCUGUGCACUCUGCCCGGCUCAGGCCAGCAUCGGUUCUCGUGGGAGGAUAAGAACGGUUGGAACGUGGCCCCCCUCCGGGGGGGUGUUAUAGCCUACCGUACGAUACUCCCGUGGGGACCGAGGUUCGCGCUCCGCAAGGAUGCUGGCGUAAUGGUCAUCAGCGACCCGUCUUGAAA
rnacentral:rRNA from 1 species